AACGAACGCUGGCGGCAGGCCUAACACAUGCAAGUCGAACGCUUCAGCAAUGAAGAGUGGCAGACGGGUGAGUAACGCGUGGGAACCUUCCCAGUGGUACGGAAUAGCCCAGGGAAACUUGGGGUAAUACCGUAUAAGCCCUUAGGGGGAAAGAUUUAUCGCCAUUGGAUGGGCCCGCGUCGGAUUAGCUUGUUGGUGAGGUAAAAGCUCACCAAGGCGACGAUCCGUAGCUGGUCUGAGAGGAUGAUCAGCCACACUGGGACUGAGACACGGCCCAGACUCCUACGGGAGGCAGCAGUGGGGAAUAUUGGACAAUGGGCGCAAGCCUGAUCCAGCCAUGCCGCGUGAGUGACGAAGGCCUUAGGGUUGUAAAACUCUUUUGGCGGGGACGAUAAUGACGGUACCCGCAGAAUAAGCUCCGGCUAACUUCGUGCCAGCAGCCGCAGUAAUACGAAGGGAGCUAGCGUUGUUCGGAAUUACUGGGCGUAAAGCGCACGUAGGCGGAUUUGUUAGUCAGGGGUGAAAUCCCGGGGCCCAACCUCGGAACUGCCUUUGAUACUGCAAGUCUGGAGUCCGGAAGAGGUGGGUGGAAUUCCUAGUGUAGAGGUGAAA
rnacentral:rRNA from 1 species